rnacentral:misc_RNA from 1 species
AGGCAGAAAUGCAACCUAUGAGGAGGUCUCUGUCAAUGGAUUCCUCUUCUGCCACAGCAAUUUACAAUGCUGUGGCUAAUUUUUUGCCUGGCAAACAUCAAGAAAACUUGGAUAGUCAAAUAUUGCAACUGAAGUACUCGAAUUCAAAAAAUGUUUCAAAGCGUGGGAGUAGUGGGACUUCAAGCUUUGGGAAACUGAUGAAAAGUUCUUCAAUAGGGCAUGCAUUGCAAAAGGGACCUAUUUCAAUGAAAAGGUCCUUUUCAUCUAGUGGGAAGUCGUCAUCAUGCAGACAUAGCAGAAGCCAGGAUUCUAUCCUUCCGUUGUGGGCAUAAAGCUUUCUUUCCUUUGCAGUGAUGCCUCAUGCUUCAGGUUAGUUAACUGUAGAAUCAAGAAGUACAAACAUUCUCAAGGAUGAGCCAUUGAGCCUAUAUAUAAAUAUAUA